UAAGGCUCAGUAACACGUGGAUAAUCUACCCUCAGGUGGGGCAUAAACCCGGGAAACUGGGGCCAAUUCCCCAUAGAUACAGAUAGCUGGAAUGCUUCUGUAUUCAAAGCUCCGGCGCCUGAGGAUGAGUCUGCGGCCUAUCAGGUUGUAGUCAGGGUCAUGACCUGACUAGCCAGCGACGGGUAUGGGGUGUGAGAGCACUUGCCCAGAGAUGGUUUCUGAGACACGAAACCAGGCCCUACGGGGCGCAGCAGGCGCGAAAACUUCGCAAUGCGGGAAACCGUGACGAGGGGAUUCCAAGUGUCUAUGCAUUGCAUAGACUGUUUUUUAGCCUAAAUAGCUAUUAGAGUAAGGGGUGGGCAAGACCGGUGCCAGCCGCCGCGGUAACACCGGCACCUCGAGUGGUAGCCACUAUUAUUGGGCCUAAAGCGUUCGUAGCCGGUUUGGUAAAUUCUUGGGUAAAUCGUACCGCUUAACGGUGCGGAUUCCGAGGACACUACCAGACUUGAGAC
rnacentral:rRNA from 1 species